rnacentral:tRNA from 1 species
GUUCCGGUAGCUCAGUUGGUAGAGCAACUUUACGUGAUUAGCGAAGGCGCCUAUCAUUAACUGCCAGGAGGUCGCAGGAUCAAAGCCUGCCCGGGAUU